AGAGUUUGAUCAUGGCUCCGGGCGAACGCUGGCGGCGUGCCUAACACAAACAAGUCGAGGGGUAAGGUACCGAGUAAUCGGGAUACACGACCGGCGCCCGGGUGAGUAACGCGUAUGCAACCUACCUUCAACCGGGAGAUAGCUCCCGGAAACGGGAAUUAAUAUUCCAUAAUAUUUUUUUAUGGCAUCAUAGAAAGAUUAAAGCUCAGGCGGUUGAAGAUGGACAUGCGUGACAUUAGCUAGUUGGUAAGGUAACGGCUUACCAAGGCUACGAUGUCUAGGGGGUCUGAGAGGAUGAUCCCCCACACUGGUACUGAGACACGGACCAGACUCCUACGGGAGGCAGC
rnacentral:rRNA from 1 species